rnacentral:tRNA from 1 species
AGAGCAAUUGACUCUUAAUCAAUAGGUCCAGGGUUCGAGCCCCUGGCGAUCCACCA